CCUACGGGGGGCUGCAGUAGGGAAUCUUCGGCAAUGGACGAAAGUCUGACCGAGCAACGCCGCGUGAGUGAAGAAGGUUUUCGGAUCGUAAAACUCUGUUGGUAGAGAAGAACGUUGGUGAGAGUGGAAAGCUCAUCAAGUGACGGUAACUACCCAGAAAGGGACGGCUAACUACGUGCCAGCAGCCGCGGUAAUACGUAGGUCCCGAGCGUUGUCCGGAUUUAUUGGGCGUAAAGCGAGCGCAGGUGGUUUAUUAAGUCUGGUGUAAAAGGCAGUGGCUCAACCAUUGUAUGCAUUGGAAACUGGUAGACUUGAGUGCAGGAGAGGAGAGUGGAAUUCCAUGUGUAGCGGUGAAAUGCGUAGAUAUAUGGAGGAACACCGGUGGCGAAAGCGGCUCUCUGGCCUGUAACUGACACUGAGGCUCGAAAGCGU
rnacentral:rRNA from 1 species